AAAGUACUCCCUCCGUCCCAAAAUUCAUGUCUUAGAUUUGUCUGGACACAGAUGUAUCAAGUCACAUUUUAGUAUUAGAUACAUCUGUAUCUAGACAAAUCUAAGACAAGAAAUUUGGGACAGAGGGAGUAGUUG
rfam:Triticum aestivum genome assembly, contig: Triticum_aestivum_CS42_TGACv1_scaffold_320380_4BL